rnacentral:lncRNA from 1 species
UCGUGAAUCAUAUAUAUAUGGAUAAAUUUUCAAUGCUAAAACAUGCACUACUUGAAAUUCAUGUGGGGUAAAAAUUAACUUAGGAAAAUAUGGAUUGAGAUGUUAUGCUCUAUGCCAUAUGUAAAGUGCAACACCCCUCUAGAUUGUAUAUAUUCAUAGUGUGCACUCUCACUAACACUAGUUGUACGAUGACAUCCUCAAGAUAAGAAUUUAAAGU